rnacentral:hammerhead_ribozyme from 1 species
AUCUAGUUGACGAGUCCCAAGUAGAACGAAACGCGCGUCCUGGAU